rnacentral:rRNA from 1 species
UACGUAGGGCGCAAGCGUUGUCCGGAAUUAUUGGGCGUAAAGAGCUCGUAGGCGGCUUGUUACGUCGGGUGUGAAAUCCCGAGGCUCAACCUCGGGUCUGCAGUCGAUACGGGCAAACUAGAGUGUGGCAGGGGAGACUGGAAUUCCUGGUGUAGCGGUGAAAUGCGCAGAUAUCAGGAGGAACACCGGUGGCGAAGGCGGUUCUCUGGGCAGUACCUGACGCUGAGGAGCGAAAGCGUGGGGAGCGAACAGG